rnacentral:rRNA from 1 species
AGAGUUUGAUCAUGGCUCAGGAUGAACGCUAGCGGCAGGCUUAAUACAUGCAAGUCGAGGGGCAGCGCGGGUAGCAAUACCUGGCGGCGACCGGCAAAACGGGUGCGGAACACGUACGCAACCUUCCCCGAAACUGGUGAAUAGCCCUCCGAAAGGAGGAUUAAUACACCGUAACAUAAUGAAACGGCAUCGUUUUAUUAUUAUAGACAGCAAUGUCGGUUUUGGAUGGGCGUGCGCCUGAUUAGGUAGUUGGCGGGGUAACGGCCCACCAAGCCUACGAUCAGUAACUGGUGUGAGAGCACGACCAGUCACACGGGCACUGAGACACGGGCCCGACUCCUACGGGAGGCAGCAGUAAGGAAUAUUGGUCAAUGGACGCAAGUCUGAACCAGCCAUGCCGCGUGAAGGAUGAAGGCCCUCUGGGUUGUAAACUUCUUUUAUAGGGGACGAAAAAAGGGAAUUCUUUCUCACUUGACGGUACCCUAGGAAUAAGCACCGGCUAACUCCGUGCCAGCAGCCGCGGUAAUACGGAGGGUGCAAGCGUUAUCCGGAUUCACUGGGUUUAAAGGGUGCGUAGGUGGGUUUGUAAGUCAGUGGUGAAAUCUCUAAGCUUAACUUGGAAACUGCCAUUGAUACUAUAGAUCUUGAAUAUCCUGGAGGUGAACGGAAUAUGUCAUGUAGCGGUGAAAUGCUUAGAUAUGACAUAGAACACCAAUUGCGAAGGCAGUUCACUACGGGAUUAUUGACACUGAGGCACGAAAGCGUGGGGAUCAAACAGGAUUAGAUACCCUAGUAGUCC